rnacentral:lncRNA from 1 species
GAGGAACCGGUGUGGUGAACUCCUGGCAUGCGCAGGUGACAAGAGGUUCCGCAGGGUAAGGUCACAGGCUUAUUAAACUUGGAUGACAGUAAACCGAUGACUAACUGGAAUGAAUGGAGUCUCUACACAUCAAAUCGUGUGUCUUGACUACUCAGGAUGUCAAGGGCAAAGGUUAACUCCUGGGGGUUUUCUUUCUGUAUUAAGAUUCUCAAGAGAACAGAACCAGUGGUGGAUGUGGAAACAAGGCUCCGAAAAUGUUAAAGAAGCCACUCCUGGUCAUUACAUCAGCUAAACGACAGGCUCUGAUUCACCUGGGCUGUGGGAUUUCCAGGAUCAAAGCAAGUGUAAGAGGGCUGAUGGUGGGCCACUGUCACCACACCCUUCAUCUUUCACUGUGUCAUCUGAGGUUGUUCUACAGUGCCUUGCUUCUGAUUGUGCUGUCAACCUUCUCAGUCCCUGGGUUGGACCUAGGACAACAGGCCAGCCUUUGGUUAGCAUCAGCAGCUGAGUGGAGACUCGUCUCCAAGCAUCAAGGAUGUGAAAAUGUGAUCUUGUUGGGGAUAGUGGGAGCUUGGGGGAUGGGUUCCUUUGUACUUCUCUCAAGGUCUCCUGGUCCCUCCCUGUGUGUUUGUGGGCGCCACAGACAGCCUCACAAUCAGGAUGAGUGGUAACGGGACAGUCAAACACAAUGAAGGGAAUCAUUGUCUCACGAGAGUCAGAACAUCUGUUCCUCCCACCGCACCUGGGCGAAGGCCAAAUAAUCAAAAGAAGGAAACAGGAUCUGCCAACAACGCACUUUACCUUGAGUCUUUGUGUAGAGAAUACCUUCUCCAAGUAGGCGCCUUUCAUUGGCUCAGAUUUUCCCAUCUCAGUUGUCAUUAUAACUGAAAGCUAUUGUAGCUCAUAAUUUCACAUUGUCCUUUCAAAUAGAAGCAUCGCCAAGCAGAUGUGAACAAUUAUCUUCAAUUGUGAUUUUUUUUCCAUUAAAUUUCUAAAGGAAUACCUAACCUGGGUGUUCAAACAUUGGUUAAUCC